rnacentral:rRNA from 1 species
UACGUAGGGUGCGAGCGUUGUCCGGAAUUAUUGGGCGUAAAGGGCUCGUAGGCGGUCUGUCGCGUCGGGAGUGAAAACUCAGGGCUUAACCCUGAGCCUGCUUCCGAUACGGGCAGACUAGAGGUAUGCAGGGGAGAACGGAAUUCCUGGUGUAGCGGUGGAAUGCGCAGAUAUCAGGAGGAACACCGGUGGCGAAGGCGGUUCUCUGGGACGGUACUGACGCUGAGGCGCGAAAGCGUGGGGAGCGAUCCGG